AUGGCCGGAAACGACAAAAAAAUGCCGUUUUUUGAUAAAAGGAACUCCGGAAAAUCCGGGGCUGCGGNUUCUCCCCCCGCAGGGCUGCGGGCGGCCGUGACCCUGGUGGAGUCCGGGGGCGACCUCAAGGCCCCGGGGGAGUCCCUGCGGCUCCUCUGCCGCGGCUCCGGCUUCACCUUCGGCAACCACGGACUGUACUGGGUGCGCCAGAGCCCCGGGAAGGGGCUGGAAUUCGUUGGUGGGAUCGACGCUUUUGGUACCACCUUCUACGCGCCGUCGGUGAAGGGCCGGUUCACCAUCGCCAGGGACAACGGGCAGAGCUCGGUGACGCUGCAGAUGAACAACCUCAGGGAGGAGGAUUCCGCCACCUAUUUCUGCGCCAAAAGUUCUGGUGCUGGUGUUUAUGGUGUCUAUGGUAUCGACCCCCUUGGCGGGGUCCCCACAUGUCCCCAAACCCCAGACCCUCCCCCCAAACCUCCACCCUUUAGACCCAAAUCUCAGCCAUUGAUCUAA